GACGAACGCUGGCGGCGUGCUUAACACAUGCAAGUCGAACGGAAAGGCCCUGCUUUUGUGGGGUGCUCGAGUGGCGAACGGGUGAGUAACACGUGAGUAACCUGGCCUUGACUUUGGGAUAACUUCAGGAAACUGGGGCUAAUACCGGAUAGGAGCUCCUGCUGCAUGGUGGGGGUUGGUAAGUUUCGUCGGUUGGGGAUGGACUCGCGGCUUAUCAGCUUGUUGGUGGGGUAGUGGCUUACCAAGGCUUUGAUGGGUAGCCGGCCUGAGAGGGUGACCGGCGACAUUGGGACUAAGAUACGGACCAGACUCCUACGGGAGGCAGCAGUGGGGAAUAUUGCACAAUGGGCGGAAGCCUGAUGCAGCAGCGCCGCGUGCGGGAUGACGGCCUUCGGGUUGUAAACCGCUUUCGCCUGAGACGAAGCGUGAGUGACGGUAAUGGGUAAAGAAGCACCGGCUAACUACGUG
rnacentral:rRNA from 1 species